GAUGAACGCUGGCGGCGUGCUUAACACAUGCAAGUCGAACGGAAAGGCCCAAGCUUGCUUGGGUACUCGAGUGGCGAACGGGUGAGUAACACGUGGGUGAUCUGCCCUGCACCUCGGGAUAAGCCUGGGAAACUGGGUCUAAUACCGGAUAGGACCACUUCUUGGAUGUUGUGGUGGAAAGUUUUUUCGGUGUGGGAUGAGCUCGCGGCCUAUCAGCUUGUUGGUGGGGUAAUGGCCUACCAAGGCGUCGACGGGUAGCCGGCCUGAGAGGGUGUACGGCCACAUUGGGACUGAGAUACGGCCCAGACUCCUACGGGAGGCAGCAGUGGGGAAUAUUGCACAAUGGGCGCAAGCCUGAUGCAGCGACGCCGCGUGGGGGAUGACGGCCUUCGGGUUGUAAACUCCUUUCGCUAGGGACGAAGCGUUUUGUGACGGUACCUGGAGAAGAAGCACCGGCUAACUACGUG
rnacentral:rRNA from 1 species